rnacentral:rRNA from 1 species
UACGUAGGGUGCAAGCGUUAAUCGGAAUUACUGGGCGUAAAGCGUGCGCAGGCGGCUAUGCAAGACAGAUGUGAAAUCCCCGGGCUCAACCUGGGAACUGCAUUUGUGACUGCAUGGCUAGAGUACGGUAGAGGGGGAUGGAAUUCCACGUGUAGCAGUGAAAUGCGUAGAGAUGUGGAGGAACACCGAUGGCGAAGGCAGCCCCCUGGGCCAAUACUGACGCUCAUGCACGAAAGCGUGGGGAGCAAACAGG